GACGAACGCUGGCGGCGUGCCUAAUACAUGCAAGUCGAGCGAAGUUUUUCUGGUUCUUGCACUAGAAAAACUUAGCGGCGAACGGGUGAGUAACACGUAAAGAACCUGCCUCAUAGACUGGGACAACUAUUGGAAACGAUAGCUAAUACCGGAUAACAGCAUUAACUGCAUGGUUGAUGUUUAAAAGUUGGUUUUGCUAACACUAUGAGAUGGCUUUGCGGUGCAUUAGCUAGUUGGUGGGGUAAAGGCCUACCAAGGCGACGAUGCAUAGCCGACCUGAGAGAGUGUUCGGCCACACUGGGACUGAGACACGGCCCAGACUCCUACGGGAGGCAGCAGUAGGGAAUCUUCCGCAAUGGGCGAAAGCCUGACGGAGCAACGCCGCGUGAGUGAAGAAGGAUUUCGGUUCGUAAAGCUCUGUUGUUAGGGAAGAAUGAUUGUGUAGUAACUAUACACAGUAGAGACGGUACCUAACCAGAAAGCCACGGCUAACUACGUG
rnacentral:rRNA from 1 species